CGGAGAUGUCUCUUAUCCGUUAUCAACGGAGGCACUCGGUCAUGCUGUGGGCUGCAAUAGCGGCCUUAGACACAAGUUGUCGAGGGUGUGAUGUGAGGAUGGGUUGGAUGCCCG
rfam:Bacillus sp. SA2-6 scf7180000001084, whole genome shotgun sequence.